rnacentral:rRNA from 1 species
CCUACGGGAGGCAGCAGUGGAGAAUUUUCCGCAAUGGGCGAAAGCCUGACGGAGCAAUACCGCGUGAGGGAGGAAGGCUCUUGGGUUGUAAACCUCUUUUCUCAGGGAAGAACAAAAUGACGGUACCUGAGGAAUAAGCAUCGGCUAACUCCGUCCCAGCAGCCGCGGUAAUACGGAGGACGCAAGCGUUAUCCGGAAUUAUUGGGCGUAAAGCGUCCGCAGGUGGCAGUUCAAGUCUGCUGUCAAAGGUCAGGGCUCAACCCUGCACAGGCAGUGGAAACUGAACAGCUAGAGUGCGGUAGGGGCAGAGGGAAUUCCCAGUGUAGCGGUGAAAUGCGUAGAGAUUGGGAAGAACACCGGUGGCGAAAGCUCUCUGCUAGGCCUGCACUGACACUCAGGGACGAAAGCUAGGGGAGCGAAUGGGAUUAGAUACCCCAGUAGUCCUAGCCGUAAACGAUGGAUACUAGGCGUAGCUUGUAUCGACCCAAGCUGUGCCGUAGCUAACGCGUUAAGUAUCCCGCCUGGGGAGUACGCGCGCAAGCGUGAAACUCAAAUGAAUUGACG